UGGCAGACUGUCAGGUCAACUGCCCCACCUCUCCCCAGGCCAUAUGAAGCUAUAAAGGCCUCUGCAGCCCUUUCACAAGAGAGAAAGAGGCAGCAACUACAUUGCCUGGAGGAAACUUAAGGAACCCAGGCACCCAGCUGCCCACCCCCAAGCCCAAGUUCUUCCCAGGAAGACAAACGUAGGAGACCCACACUCCUGGAAGCAUCAGCUUUUAUCUUUUCACCCUGAAGUCCCCUUUCUCAAGAAUCCUCUGCUCUUUGCGCUCUAGUCUUGGCACAUCUAGGACCCAGGCAUCGUGCUUUCCAGCCACAAGGAGACAGAUGAAGAUGCAGGAAGGAAAUGUUCUCCUUACAUUUUGGCUACUAUUGCUUUUAGAAGCCGCAAUAAAUUCCAGUGGGACUAGCUCCUCUGCCAACACUGCAUUCAGUGUGACCACCACUGGGGCCAACACAGCCACCAGCUCUGGGUUCAGCGUGACCUCCAGUGAGGCCAGCACAGCCUCCAACGAGGCCAGCACAGCCACCAGCUCUGACUCCCACAAAACCGCCAGUGGGACCAGCACAGCCACCAACUCUGAGUCAAGCACAACCUCCACCGGGGUCAGCACAAUCACCAAAUUUGAGUCUAGCUCAACCUCCAGUGGGGCCAGCACAGCCACCAACUCUGACUCCAGCACCACCUUCAGGGGAACCAGCACGACCUCCAGCGGGGUCAGCACAGCCACAAACUCUGAGUCCAGCACAACCUUUAGGGAAACCAGCACAGUCACCAACUCUGAGUCUACCACAACUUCCAGGGCAAUCAGUACAACCUCCAGUGGGGCCAGCACAGCCACCAACUCGGAGUCCAGCACAGACUCUGGUAGGGUCAGCACAGCCACCAACUCGGAGUCCACCUCCACCUUCAGUGGGGUCAGCACAGCCACCAACUCUGAAUCCAGUACAACCUCCACUGGGGCCAGCACCAUCACCAACUCUGAGUCCAGUACAACCUCCACUGGGGCCAGCACAGCCACCAACUCUGAG
rnacentral:lncRNA from 1 species